AAAUAUAAUCCUCCAAAUUUGACUAUGUCCUUUAUUCCUCUAAAAUUUAGGAGAUCGGCUAGAGAUGUCAUAAGGGGAUCGGGCAGUUUAAUUAACUCCAUUAGUUUGUGGACCUUGCGACGAUCUGUCAGUACCCUGUUCUCAUUUUUAUACUUGAAUGAUGGGUGAAGUCCCUCACAUGGAUUGGGGUCAUUAAGGAAAAUCACACUUUAAAUUGUAUAAUACGAUACCCCUAUACAAUCUCCGGGGUAGAGCUUUUGGAGAAGCAAAAUUGUGAAACAGGGGAAGAAUAUACACUUCGGAGGAAUCGUGUUGGGCAAUUUGUGCAAGUUGUUAAUUACAUAGAGUUACUGAAUUUGAGUGUGUAAAAAAUAUCGCUACCAAAAUGUUAUGUGCAUUUACCAACUUAACCAUGACUAGCCUCCUUGUGCAUUAGAGAUGACAAAAACAUGUUCGAAUUUAGCCUCCUUGUGCGCGAGAGAUACAUAUACACGGUACUCGGUUUAUAUCCCAGAGAUGUGAAAGCCAUGGAUUGCUUUUCUUGUCUUGUUUUCAUUUUUGGAUUUGUUAUGCAGUGUCAAAACACACCUUUUGCUUCUGUUAAUUAGUGGAAACGGGGAUGCCCUUGCUGAUGAAACCACAAGGAUUGCGGAGAUAUGAAGUAACUCAUCAUGAUCAGAAAUUCACAAUGCCAACCAUCAUAACUCAGAGCCCAUCAAAAUUGAACUAACAUGCUAGCAGUCUCAUGAAUACACGCACCUAUAUGUGACACGGUGACAUAUCCAUAUGCACACUAGCAGAGCUAUAUGUUGAGGCGAGAUAAGGUCAUGGCCCGGCUAGCCCAGCCACAAUACAAUGUAUAAUUGGGCCUAGAGAGCAGAAUAUUUGAUAUUUCAUUUGGAAUAGCCCACCCAGGCCCGCCUGGGAAUUUUUUGUAGCUCCGCCACAGCAUGUGCAAGGAGGUGUUCUUCUAAAUUACUCCAGCCCAAGCCGAGAGGGGUACGAGUAAGGAAGGAGACCACACGGAAUCCGGGUUACAAGUUUAUAUGGUCAUGACUUGUAGAUCAAUACAGAAUGACUAUAUAAGGAUCUUGGAGGCCACACCAAGUGUAUAUGAGCUUGCGUCUAUGCUUUGUUAAAAAAACAUCAUGACGUACAAGCAAGUCAAGACAGAAAACACCAUGGCAGCUCCAAUAGAUUAAUGGUCGUUUCGUUUAGUCUCGUAUAGACACGUACACCAUUGUAGUUAUCCUCAUAUUAUAAGAUCACAACAAGGCAGGAAGUAGUGGUGUUACCUACAUAAGACCUCAACCUGGGUAAUUGUGUAUUAUUUUUGUAUCGCCUCAUCACAUGUUUUUGACUAUCGAUACCCACAUAUACAGAUCAAUGCAAAUAAAAAAGCAAUGUUGAUACCUCUUCCUGGUGCAUCUUAUUGAUUUGUUCACCUACCUUGAGAUGUUUAAACACCACAUUUCCUCCUCAUUCAAGAAAGCCCGUCAUCUGUUAUUCAUCAAAACUAUACACUUCUACACAAUUCUUCCAUUUGACGAUUUUCAUAUAACAAUUUAUAAGUAGGAAAUGCACAUAAAUAUAGGACAUGAUGAAGCAAAACUAGAAAAACUCAACCAACAUGUAUCACUUCGAGGAAUCGGGACAUCAACAAAGAUGAGGACAAUACUUUCCCCUAAGUAUUUGUUCUUGGUGGGGUGGGCAGGUGAGAUAUCUUUUCCAGAACACAAUGUGCAUUUACUAGGUGAAUUGUGACUAGCGUCCUUGUGCAUCAAAUGUGACAAAAACGCAUCCCAAUUACUAUUUGGUAUGUACCUCAGAAAAGAUAGUGGGCACAUAUUGCAAAGGUUGAGGAAGUUGGUUUCGUGUGUUGUUUCCUAGACCACAACCACAAUGCAAGACGUCAUAACUCAAGCCCCAUGAAGAGUAGAGCAAUAUGUAAAGACAUGUCUAGAAAAAAUGUGUUGCCAUACAACUCCACUUCACCUCUCUCUCUCUCUCUN
rnacentral:lncRNA from 1 species